UAGGGAAUCUUCGGCAAUGGGGGGAACCCUGACCGAGCAACGCCGCGUGAGUGAAGAAGGCUUUCGGAUCGUAAAGCUCUGUUGUUAAGGAAGAACGAGUGUGAGAAUGGAAAGUUCAUACUGUGACGGUACUUAACCAGAAAGGGACGGCUAACUACGUGCCAGCAGCCGCGGUAAUACGUAGGUCCCGAGCGUUGUCCGGAUUUAUUGGGCGUAAAGCGAGCGCAGGCGGUUAGAUAAGUCUGAAGUUAAAGGCAGUGGCUCAACCAUUGUAGGCUUUGGAAACUGUUUAACUUGAGUGCAGAAGGGGAGAGUGGAAUUCCAUGUGUAGCGGUGAAAUGCGUAGAUAUAUGGAGGAACACCGGUGGCGAAAGCGGCUCUCUGGUCUGUAACUGACGCUGAGGCUCGAAAGCGUGGGGAGCGAACAGG
rnacentral:rRNA from 1 species